UCCCAUAAAGGGGUUAGUAUUACCCCUUAAUGGGAAACUUUGUAGCAUGUAGCA
rnacentral:ncRNA from 1 species